rnacentral:pre_miRNA from 1 species
UUAACUCAAAAUUGUAUGGAGUUGGAACGCUUGCCUACGUUUGCCGCUAGGGGCGCUGUUCCAACUGCAUACAAAACUGAGUUA